rnacentral:lncRNA from 1 species
UGUUUUUGUAAGCUAUCUUGGAGAGUUUAUGGAAAUAAGCUGAGAAAAGCUUAUCAACGUUUGUCAUAAGCCGUAUUCGUAAAUUCUCCCAAACAGUCUCACAUGUGAGUUUAAUAUCGUCUUAUGUAUUUAUUUGUGAAUUUUGAUUAGUGUAUCCUUAGACUGGCUUAUUCCUUAAAUAAGCCAAUCCAAACAUGUCCAUA